GUCCAAAGGACUCUCAAGAGUUUUCUCCAGCACCACAGUUCAAAGACAUCAAUUCUUCAGUGCUCAGCCUUUUUUAUUGUCCAGCUCUCACAUCUGUAUGUGACUACUGGAAAAACGACUGGAAAAGGUUGAGAGAUAUUUAACCACUCAUUUGCAGGAAAGAUCCAAUUGAGAGAAAAAAAACUGAUAAUACAUGCAGAACGGGAGACAUUUGCUAGAAGAAUAUCCUAGAAUAGGAGAGGAAGUUAGCAAAAUGAGGAGAAACACAAGACAAGAAGACACAGGUACAGGAAGAAGGAAAUCCAAUAACAAUAAUAACAUAAGAGACAGAGUUAAUUCUCUCUUCUGGCAAAAGGAAGUCUCAAGAGGACAGAAGUACAGAUUGGCAGAAAAUAAUGAAGGACUACAAAAGUUUGUACUCCAAGAGGAAGAAAAAGUGGAACCCAUAGUUUUAUUUAAUGUCUGACCAUAUUUUAGGGAAUUUUAUACUCAGAUGCUCAGGCAUGUCUGACUCUUUGUAACCCCAUGAACUGAAGCCCACCAGGCUCCUCUGUCUAUGGGAUUGUCUAGAAAAGGAUACUGGAAUGGGUUUCCAUUUCCUUCUGCAUGGGACUUUUACGGUACUGUGCAGUUAGUGAAAGGUACAUAGGAAAACUGAGCAAACAGCCGAAUGAGACAAUUACCACUGGAAAGAAAUAUUUUAAAAAUUAAUGCAUGCGGGGAGCUGCCCACGAGAACGGGGUCUUUUGUCCGAAGGACACAGCUCUGGGAGCUGCCUCAGUCCUUGAGGGUUUGCUUGCAAACAUAGCUCUCUGUCCCACCACCCCAGAGAUUAGGCGCUUAUUUACUGCAGGCACCUGGAGUUCUGUGCAA